GUUGAACGCUGGCGGCAGGCCUAACACAUGCAAGUCGAACGGUAACAGGAAACAGCUUGCUGUUUCGCUGACGAGUGGCGGACGGGUGAGUAAUGUCUGGGAAACUGCCUGAUGGAGGGGGGUAACUACUGGAAACGGUAGCUAAUACCGCAUAACGUCGCAAGACCAAAGAGGGGGACCUUCGGGCCUCUUGCCAUCGGAUGUGCCCAGAUGGGAUUAGCUAGUAGGUGGGGUAACGGCUCACCUAGGCGACGAUCCCUAGCUGGUCUGAGAGGAUGACCAGCCACACUGGAACUGAGACACGGUCCAGACUCCUACGGGAGGCAGCAGUGGGGAAUAUUGCACAAUGGGCGCAAGCCUGAUGCAGCCAUGCCGCGUGUAUGAAGAAGGCCUUCGGGUUGUAAAGUACUUUCAGCGGGGAUGAAGGGAGUAAAGUUAAUACCUUUGCUCAUUGACGUUACCCGCAGAAGAAGCACCGGCUAACUCCGUG
rnacentral:rRNA from 1 species